UACAGAGGUCCCCAAGCGUUUGUUCGGAUUCAUUGGGCGUAAAGGGUGCGUAGGCGGCGCGGUAAGUCGGGUGUGAAAUCUCGGAGCUUAACUCCGAAACUGCAUUCGAUACUGCCGUGCUUGAGGACUGGAGAGGAGACUGGAAUUUACGGUGUAGCGGUGAAAUGCGUAGAUAUCGAGAGGAACACCGGUGGCGAAGGCGAGUCCCUGGACAAUUCCUGACACUGAGGCACGAAAGCUAGGGGAGCAAACAGG
rnacentral:rRNA from 1 species